rnacentral:miRNA from 1 species
UGGGGGGUUCACAUUUUUAAGU